rnacentral:misc_RNA from 1 species
UACUUAUAUCUCUAAUACAGAUUCUGUAUAUUCGAGUUACUAAGAUUCAAUUAAAAAGAAAACUACAACUUUACUAAGUAGGUACUUUAUUUAAUAAUCUCAUUGAUAUGAUUUUUAACUUUGAAAAGGAAAUAUAUUACAUACAUUUUUGUAUAAUAAAUACGUGGACAAUUGCAAGAAACUUCGGGAAAUCUCGUAAUGCAAUAAACACUAAACUUUGAGAAAAGUAACAAAAUACUGAAAAAAUAUAACUACAGUGAACUGCCCGAGCAUGCCUAUUGCACAUAUACAAUGUUUUACUAAUUAUCUUAGAUUUACUAAAGCCUAUGACUGUCAAAGUCGUAGCCAGAAAAGACCUAGAGGUGAUUUAGAUUAUUCAGAUAUAAUCUAUUGACCUCUACAUCCUAAAAUUACUUACACAUAAACCGUUUAGUUAAAACUAAGCAUGUAAAGAAAUAAAAAAAAUACAGUAAAUAACAAUAUCAAAGCUUUUUGUUAUAAAUAAAUGGUUAAAACGUAUAUCAGCAGACUAAUCAACAUAUGUUGUAAGAUCAAAAUUACCAUAUCGUUAUAUUUUUACAUUUAGGUAUAAGUGAAUUUGUAAGGAAUUACUGUUUUGACUUUCAUUUUUUAUAAACGUAUAAUAUGAUAUUAUAAAUCAAUUUUCAUUUUUAAAACCGGUUUAAAUAGUAUUAAAUUAGUAUACCACACAUACAACAUAUUUCAGUAUUAAAUGUGUCAUUUUUAGUUUACUAAAUAUUUUUCCAUAAAGAAAAGAAAUUUUCCAAAUAAAUUACUUAAUACAUAAACAAUUCAUAUUAAAAUAUAUUGCUAUUAAUUUUGUGAUUUCAUUUAUUUCAGAAAUUUCAACUUCAAAUGUCUCAAAAUUUAUAAGAGUUUUUGUCGAUAUUAUUAAAGCCGAAUUUAAUAGGCUUCUAAUCUCAAUAUCAGGCUGUACAAAUGGUUAUAAUAGGACUAAACUAACAAUAUUGUGAUUCAUGGAACCAUGGGGUCGUUUUUUAAUUGAGAACAACACUAGCUACGACAGUGAUCUAUUUUAUUAAUAUUAAACCUCUCUUCUCCUAUAUGGAGAAAGAGGCCUAUGCCCAACAAUGGGAUAUUACCGGCUGAAUGCGAUUAAUAUUAAAAUGUUAAAAAUACACUUAUAUUAACAAUAAUUUAAAACAUAAUUAUUACGCACUUAUCUGAUCAUCAAAUGGGUACUGAAUCUAAUAUUGGCAGUGCUUAAGAGAAAUAAAAAAUAAUAAUUAGUUAUAGUGUUAUACAUUAAUAAAACUUACUUGAUAAAAAUUGUACAAGAUGGACAACAUUUUUCAGUAUUGUUUGAAUAGCUUGUCCAUAGUGGAAUUUGAUUGAACAGACACAUAUUCCUAUUUAAAAUAAUAUUACUUAGAAGAAACUUUUGCAUACGAUCGGGAAAGCUGGAAAAAAGACAGCAAAACUGCAUUACAGUUGCACCUAAACUUACCAUCUAAAUAAAUGACAUCCACAAUAAUUUUGCUUUAAUUCAAUAGUUGUUUAGUUUUUUUUUUUUUUUUUACGAUAAGGAUAUUCGAACACUAGCGUGACUCCAGUUGUAAUUUCGCGUGACUAGCGUGACUGACAGUUUCAAAUCGAUUGUGGUUCUGUUUCCGUAAUUUAAUCACACUAGAAUGCUCUUAGAGUUUUCUUUAGAACCCGGAGACGUCACGGAACGAAAUUAUGCCGAUGAACGGUCUAUUUUUAAAGUUAGGUUAGUUUUUUUUCCAAGAAGUACCAGUCACUAGAUUACCGCUGGAGUCACGUUAGUGUCCGAAUAUCCUCAGCCUUUUUUUAAAGCCAAAUGACACUUCAGAUAUGACACAUAUUGUGAGUUUGUGACUAAUUCAAAGCAUAUUGACAUAAAUCAUAUUAUGCAACAAAGAUAGAGAGAGAUUCUACAUUUACAUUUAAGCUUUAAUAGACCUGGUAAGGGGAGACAAUCUCAUAAUUGCAAUGCGACGCUUACAUGUUUACACUUACAUUAAAUAUUUAAAGACAAAAAAAUCACAUUAACGAACAUAAAUAAAUCAGUUGUUGAAUUAAAGCCAUAACCACGAAAUUAUACGAAGCUGAGUCGGAAACAAUCUCUUAAUUAAUAUUCAGUUCUUUAGUAGAUUGGAUUCAGUUCAUUUGGAGAUUGGGUAACAGUGGAUCACGGGUCUAUGUAUUACUUAAUGCACACAAAAAAACGAGUGGUCACUGCGCAUCCAUACCCCUCUCGACCGCGCUCGUCAACCACGCGCUGUGAAAGCGGAGUAACACACUGUUACACUUCGGUCAGCGGUGAGUACAAAAGUAUUUUUUACGUGAUUUAGAAUUUUGUUGUACCUCUGAGUGAUUGAGAAAUAUAAAUAACAGUUUUAUGUUUUUAUCUUGUUAUUUAUUAAGGCCCAUAGGUAGUUUUUAGGGUUACAAUGAAUAAUUUCAGUUUGGGUCACAAUAGACUGUUGAUCCAGUGGUUACACCAGUGAUAACCCGUGAUUCAAAAGACAGAAGAAUAUAAUCAACCGUUGUGUAGGGCAUUUGUGGACUACGAGAAAGCCUUCGACUCUGUUGAGACCUGGGCUGUCCUGGACUCUCUGCAGAGAUGUCAUAUCGAAUGGCGAUAUAACGAGGUACUGAAGUCUAUGUACGACGCGGCGACGAUGACCGUUCAUGUCCAGGACCAGAUAACAAGACCUAUUUCCCUCCGGCGUGGAGUAAGACAGGGAGAUGUAAUAUACCGAAACUGUUUACCACUACGCUGGAGGAUGUCUUUAAGACCUUAGAUUGAGGGGAAUGAGGCAUUAACGUCAACGGUGAAUUCAUCUCUCACCUUCGUUUCGCCGACGAUAUUGUCAUCUUUACGAAGUCGUUGGAUCAGUUAGGCCGGAUGCUGGCCGGCCUAAACGAGUCCUCCCAGCGUGUCGGUCUCUGUAUGAACUUGGACAAAACGAAAGUUAUGUUUAACAACCAAGUCAUACCGAGACCGGGAUAGGUCGAUGGUACCCUUCUCGAAGUUGUUCAGGAUUAUAUUUACCUAGGCCAUACUAUCCAACUAGGCCGCAACAACUUCGAGAAAGAGGCCGAUAGGAGGAUUCGGUUGGGCUAGGCGGCGUUUGGAAGACUCCGUCGAGUCUUCACUUCGAUGAUUCCGCAAUGCUUGAAG